UACGUAGGGACCAAGCGUUGUUCGGAUUACUGGGCGUAAAGGGCGCGAGUAGGCGGCGUGUUAAGUCAGCUGUGAAAUCUCCAAGCUUAACUUGGAACGGUCAGCUGAUACUGAUGUGCUAGAGUGCAGAAGGGGCAAUCGGAAUUCUUGGUGUAGCGGUGAAAUGCGUAGAGAUCGGGAAGAACAUCGGUGGCGAAAGCGCUCUGCUGGACUGCAACUGACACUGAGGGACGAAAGCUAGGGGAGCGAAUGGG
rnacentral:rRNA from 1 species